rnacentral:rRNA from 1 species
UACGUAGGGUGCAAGCGUUGUCCGGAAUUAUUGGGCGUAAAGAGCUCGUAGGCGGUUUGUCGCGUCGGCUGUGAAAACUCGGGGCUCAACCCCGAGCCUGCAGUCGAUACGGGCAAACUGGAGUGUGCUAGGGGAGACUGGAAUUCCUGGUGUAGCGGUGAAAUGCGCAGAUAUCAGGAGGAACACCGGCGGCGAAGGCGGGUCUCUGGGGCAUAACUGACGCUGAGGAACGAAAGCGUGGGGAGCGAACAGG